rnacentral:rRNA from 1 species
UACGAAGGGGGCUAGCGUUGUUCGGAAUUACUAGGGCGUAAAGCGCGCGCAGGCGGCUAUCCAAGAUCAGUGGUGAAAGCCCGGAGACUUAACUCCGGAACUGACCAUUGAAACGUGUUUAGCUUGAGGACGAGAGAGGUGAGUGGAAUUCCCAGUGUAGAGGUGAAAUUCGUAGAUAUUGGGAAGAACACCGGUGGCGAAGGCGGCUACACGUGG